AAACGACAUUCCAUAAAAGAACUUGAAGAAAUAGAGAAGGCCAGGCUGCAUGCCAGCUCGCCCUACUUCACUUUCACUUCACACUGUGUGAUUCCAAAAGAGUGGCAUAAAGCCUCUGCAAGAGCCAGGAGUAAAACUUACAAAUACAGGUUUUGGGAAAUGCUGUCUGUACUCGGGGCCUGGAGAGUUUCUGUCCUCCAUUGAGAAACCAAGCACAUUGCUUGACUUGCCUCUUAGCGGGAGGGUGAUGUUGAGAACAAGGUUAAAUACCCACCUGUCAGGACAUCAACCAGACCCAAAGACAAAAAUCCACCAAAGAUGCUAGAAGCACAGAGAAAUCAGUCUCUACCUUGGUACUUAAUAUUGGUGACCUGGUACUUGAAAUGCUCCCACAGAGGAAGGACUUUUAGCCUGUGCAGACUUCUAUAUUCUACACAAACAGGAGGUCUGUUAUACACUCUCAAUAUUUUGUUUUCAUUCCCCAUCCUGAGUUUUGUUGGAAUAAACAGUGCUACUUUGUUUAUGCUU
rnacentral:lncRNA from 1 species